AUUGAACGCUGGCGGCAGGCCUAACACAUGCAAGUCGAACGGUAACAGGAAGAAGCUUGCUUCUUUGCUGACGAGUGGCGGACGGGUGAGUAAUGUCUGGGAAACUGCCUGAUGGAGGGGGAUAACUACUUGAAACGGUAGCUAAUACCGCAUAACGUCGCAAGACCAAAGAGGGGGACCUUCGGGCCCCUUGCCAUCGGAUGUGCCCAGAUGGGAUUAGCUAGUAGGUGGGGUAACGGCUCACCUAGGCGACGAUCCCUAGCUGGUCUGAGAGGAUGACCAGCCACACUGGAACUGAGACACGGUCCAGACUCCUACGGGAGGCAGCAGUGGGGAAUAUUGCACAAUGGGCGCAGGCCUGAUGCAGCCAUGCCGCGUGUAUGAAGAAGGCCUUCGGGUUGUAAAGUACUUUCAGCGGGGAGGAAGGGAGUAAAGUUAAUACCUUUGCUCAUUGACGUUACCCGCAGAAGAAGCACCGGCUAACUCCGUG
rnacentral:rRNA from 1 species